ensembl:snRNA U6 U6 spliceosomal RNA
GUGCUGACUUAGGCAGCACAUAUACUAAAAUUAGAGUGAAACAGAGAAGAUUGGCAUGGCCCCUGAGCAAAGAUGACACAUGAAUUGGUGAAGCACACCAUGUUUGU